CGGCGAUGAUUUGAAUGAUUUAUCCGCGCUUCUGAGAGUAAUCAGUGAAGUAAAGGAUUUAAAAUGGUUGAAUUUCUUAAUAUGAGCCGACGAAGGUUUAUGAAAAUAUGCAGUGAUGAUUGAAUACACAGCUUUAAGCCAGUUCUGCUUCAGAGAAUUCAUGAUUGAUAGAGCUGUUAUUUACUCUGAGCUUCUUAAUUUGUUUUUUUUUUAUUUUAAUAUUUUUCGAUGAUGAUAUAAUCCAAUUUUAUGAGGUACGUGGAUCCAAGACCCUGUUUUACAGGGAGAACCACUUGGUUGAAGCUGUAUUUCAAAUGGUAUUACUGGAUUUUACUGAGGAUUAUUAAUUUUUAUUAAUAUUAUUGAGUUUAAACUAUACUUUUUACCCUGGAUUAUCUAACGGGUUUGGAGUCUGAAAAACUCAGAAAAUAUGUGUUGUCAUCAGCUUCUUCUUUCGUAAUAUCAACGAGACUGGAGUUAAAUAACAGCACAAAAUUG
rnacentral:lncRNA from 1 species